rnacentral:lncRNA from 1 species
AUUCUUCUUUUUUUUUUUUCAAUUGUUAAGUACAUAUGAGGGGGCAUAAACGAAGUGGAUAUCGUGCCCAGUGUAAUAUAUGUGGUUUUCGUAUAGAAAUUUGUGGGUAUAUACGUUUUCGACCACCUGGUUCUAUAGAAAUUUUUGGGUUUUGGUUUAGCCAGAGGGGUGGUGACUAAACAAACCACCCCCCCCCCCCCCCCCCCCCCAAACCCCGUAUGGUUCCGCCGACGCUCCCUUGCUUCUAGUUCCUGCUACUUAGAUGUUUGCUCUACCAAUAGCAUUGGAGCACGAGUCCUAGUGCUGGAACUGAAUCUGGUUUUCUUGAUACUCAUUCUCUAAACCGUAGAGUUGCACUUCCAGAGCAGAGCAUACUUCUCCCGAUCUGUGUAUUCUCUUAUUCUGGAGUCACUUUGGUUCGAAGGAAAAUACCAUGAUGCAGAAUGGGUUAUAGAAUCUAGAUAUAGAAAAAAUAUGAAGAAAAAACACUAUAGUACCUAGCUCGGUUAUAUAAAGCAAGCGAUGAUCUAGAAAGCGCCUCAGGGACUUGAGCGUCAAAGCUGGUCAACAUCAAGGUUUGUAGGAGGCUUAUAUGUGAAGUCAGCCAAAAUGGAUGAAGAAAUUAUGAAUGAUUUAGUUGAUAAAAUGGCUGAUAUGUAAAAGAGACGAGAGAGAUGUAAUUUCUAGUCGUACAAAAAGAGCAACGUUUGGUGUCCAUGAACACUGCCUCGCUCUUCUUAAAACCAAGGUACCUAGUAUCCAUCAUAGAGUUGGUGAUUACAACACAUGUAACGAAACGAAAAACCUUAGUCUGGAAUUAAGGAACAAGGAAUCGUAGAUGCUAAAUGGUCUUAAGAACCGUUUAAUAAACUGUAACCUAAGAAAGAAAGAUCUU